AUUGUACAGUAAAUUCUACCUAAGACUCGGGUGGCUAACGUGCCUUAAUAUCCCGCCGAGGCCAGAAAAACUAAGAGUUUUAUAACUCCAUGUCUUUUUGGCAUGGAGUUUUUAUUUCGGCUGA
rfam:Lactobacillus gasseri ATCC 33323, complete genome.